UCUGUUGUUCCGUAGUGUUCUC
rnacentral:miRNA from 1 species